rnacentral:rRNA from 1 species
UUCAAUACUAUUAUUGCAAAAUAAUGGUGUGCACUUUUCUCUUAGUAAGACGUUGUGAUCCAUUAGGAAUCGAAUAUUUAUCUAAAAUUGAAUAUUCAAUAGGCUACCAAUAGGCUGGCAUUGAAGUUCACAUUGACAAAUAAUACAAUCUUUUGGUUGUGCAUAUUGUCUUGUGAGCAAUACCAUAUACUGAUGUAGCUGCCUGAUAGAUUUUAAAGGUUAUAUCAUCAAUAUCUUGUAUAUUGCCUUCCAAAAGGAGGAUUAAAAAGAUAUAUACCCGAUCAACAACGGUUUCAUUUGAGAUACCUUUGGGACCCGUCUUGAAACACGGACCAAGGAGUCUAUCUAGUAUGCGAGUAAAUGGGAUAAUUUAAAUUAAUUUGAAACCUAUUUGCGUAAAUAACUUGACUGUAAUUUAAUGGGAUUACAUGCAUUUUUAUUGCAUCUCCAUCCCGGAGUAUUUUCACAACAUAUAUGGGCAACUAUAUAUAGAAAAUAUAUCAUGAGCAUACUGGACAUGACCCGAAAGAUGGUGAACUAUGCCUGAUCAGGUUGAAGUCAGGGGAAACCCUGAUGGAGGACCGAAGCAAUUCUGACGUGCAAAUCG